AUGUAGUUCAGGUUGGCUUCAAACUACACUACCAUUAAUCGCCAGGGUUGUUUCGGCUGAUCUGGCUAGGCGAGUGUUCCCUUCCUCUCACCACUCCAUGUGUGUCCCUGCCAAAGCUCUGCUCUCAGUCAAAGAGGAUGACCACCCCGAGGAGGACCCAUAGAGGAGAGGACCAUUUCCUGGGUCAAGGGUAUACGAGUAGCUGCGCUGCCCUGCUAGAGCCUCCAAACAAGCUCUCAAACUACACUUCCGUUAUGUAGUUGGGGCUGGCCUCUUGGUGCUCCUCCUGCUUCAGCUUCGUACAGGCUGGGAUUA
rfam:Fukomys damarensis contig91424, whole genome shotgun sequence.